rnacentral:tRNA from 1 species
AGGAAUGUAGCUUACUGGUAGAGUGCUUGCCUAGCAUGCAUGAAGUCCUGGGUUCAAUUCCCCAGUCCCA